rnacentral:rRNA from 1 species
AGUGGCGGACGGGUGAGUAACGCGUGAGAAUCUGCCUUCAGGUCGGGGACAACAGAGGGAAACUUCUGCUAAUCCCGGAUGAGCCUUAGUGUAAAAAAUUUAUUGCCUGGAGAUGAGCUCGCGUCUGAUUAGCUAGUUGGUAAGGUAAAAGCUUACCAAGGCAACGAUCAGUAGCUGGUCUGAGAGGAUGAGCAGCCACACUGGGACUGAGACACGGCCCAGACUCCUACGGGAGGCAGCAGUGGGGAAUUUUCCGCAAUGGGCGAAAGCCUGACGGAGCAAGACCGCGUGGGGGAGGAAGGCUCUAGGGUUGUAAACCCCUUUUCUUUGGGAAGAACAAAAUGACGGUACCAAAGGAAUCAGCCUCGGCUAACUCCGUGCCAGCAGCCGCGGUAAUACGGAGGAGGCAAGCGUUAUCCGGAAUGAUUGGGCGUAAAGCGUCCGCAGGUGGCAAUGUAAGUCUGCUGUCAAAACCCAGGGCUCAACUCUGGUCAGGCAGUGGAAACUACAUAGCUAGAGUUCGGUAGGGGCAAAGGGAAUUCCCGGUGUAGCGAUGAAAUGCGUAGAGAUCGGGAAGAACAUCGGUGGCGAAAGCGCUUUGCUAGACCGAAACUGACACUCAGGGACGAAAGCUAGGGGAGCGAAUGGGAUUAGAUACCCC